rnacentral:lncRNA from 1 species
AGAAAACAUGCCCUUUCUCUGCCUUUCUGCUCCUUUUGGACCUCAAGGAAUUGGAUGAGGCCCACCCACAUUGGGGAGGGCCAUCUGCCUCACUCAGUCUACUGAUUCAAAUGCUAACCUCUUCUGGAAACGCCUUCACAGACACACCCAGAAGCAAUGUUUUACCAGCUAUCUGGACAUCCCGUAGCCCAGUCAAUUUUUUUUUUUUUUUUGAGGAAGAUUAGCCCUGAGCUAACAUCUGCUGCCAAUCCUCCUCUUUUUGCUGAGGAAGACUGGCCCUGAGCUAACAUCCGUGCCCAUCUUCCUCUACUUUCUAUGUGGGAUGCCUGCCACAGCAUGGCUUGCCAAGCCGUGCUAUGUCUGCACGUGGGAUCCAAACCAGUGAACCCCAGGCCGCUGAAGUGGAACGUGCGCAUAUUCGUAUGGAGCCAGCAGCGCUGGGCCCUGCGUUCCCGACGCCUUACACUGAAGCCAGAGAAGUCAGAGAAACCUGGAGGCACCGCCCCAUCCUCAGCCAACCACCUGGGAGCCAGCACGGGGCAGAAGGAAGAGUGUGAGAUUUGUUUGGCUAUCUGUAUUUCCGAAGCCUAAUAAAACUUGCAAACACUUUGACCUAGAAAUUCCAUCGCUAAGAAUUUACCCUAAAGGAACCAUCAAGGAUUAUGCAUAAAGGUUUAGCUAUAAGGAUAUUCACUGAAGGAUUAUGACGUCAAGGAUUUAUGACAGUAGGGGAAAAAAAUGGAAACAGCCCUCAGAAAUGGACUGACUAAAUGAAUUAGGCUGCAUUCACACAAAACACUGUAUGCAUUCCUCAUGCAGUUUUAAAAAAGUUAUUUGAAGAAAGAAAGAGAAGAGCAAACGAAAGGGAUGUCUAGUGUCAGGUGGAGCUUGGUUCAAAUUCUUGCUGUACUCCUUAUGAGCGGUGUGACCAUCAUCUACUUAAUUAACUUCUCUGGGCCACUUGUUUCCUGGUCUGUAAAAUGGUCAUACUAUAGGGGCCGGCCUCAUGGCUGAGUGGUUAAGUUUGCGUGCUCCGCUUCGGCAGGCUGGUGUUUCGUGGGUUUGGAUCCUGGGCGCAGACAUGGCACGGCUCAUCAGGCCAUGCUGAGGCGGCACCCCACAUCCACAACUAGAAGGACUCACAACUAAAAAUACACAACUAUGUACCAGGGGACUUUGGGGAGAAAAAGGAAAAAUAAAAUCUUAAAAAAAAAUGGGUAUACUAUCAAAUAUGUUGUGUUAAUCAGGAUGGCUUACUGCUGUGACAAAUAACCACAAAAUCUCACUGGCUUAAUGCAACAAAGGUGUAUUUCUCUCUCAUGCCAUGUCUGAUGCAGAUGUUCCUGGGCAGGUGUCUUCCAACUGAUGGACUCGAGGAUUGGGUCCCUUUUCAUCACAAGCCUCCAUCCUCUUAAACUUCUUUGCUCCCUUCCACGAGGACAGGAGAGAGAGCAUAAUAGAUUGGACAGGAUGCUUUAUGGCCAGGCCUGGUAGAGGGGGUGCGUCACUUCUGCUCAUGGCCUAUUGCUCACGUCCUAGCUGCAAGGGGUCUGGGAAAUGUAGUGCCAGCACUCAGGAAGAGGAAAUGGGUUCCGUGAGCCCCCGGCUUUGUCUCUGAC